rnacentral:lncRNA from 1 species
UAAUUUCUAGUGGACCCCACUCCCUCUCUCUCUCCAAUGGAUUCGCGAUGCGCUCUUCUCCAUCGCCGCCAUCAUUCUCGCCGGUGGCCUCUACUGGUUCAUCUGAAGGUGGAGAAAGGCUUCGAUUUGGAUCAAAAGGUUUGUUCUUUGAUUCUCACAACGAUGUGCCAGCAGCUAAAUUACGGCGGCGGCGGCGGUGGUUGUGAAAUUUUGAGGUUCUUGGAUGAUUUGAAAAAUUUGGGUUUUAAA